rnacentral:rRNA from 1 species
UACGUAGGCAGCAAGCGUUGUUCGGAAUUACUGGGCGUAAAGAGUGUGUAGGUGGUGUCGUAAGUUUGGUGUGAAAUCUCCCGGCUUAACUGGGAGGGUGCGCCGAAGACUGCGAUGCUGGAGUAUGGGAGAGGAAAGCGGAAUUCCUGGUGUAGCGGUGAAAUGCGCAGAUAUCAGGAGGAACACCGGUGGCGAAGGCGGGUCUCUGGGCCGUAACUGACGCUGAGGAGCGAAAGCAUGGGGAGCGAACAGG